CAGCCGUAAACUAUGCGCGUUAGGUGUACUGGUGACCACGAGUCACCGGGGUGCCGAAGGGAAACCGUGAAACGUGCCGCCUGGGAAGUACGGUCGCAAGGCUGAAACUUAAAGGAAUUGGCGGGGGGAGGCACCACAACGGGUGGAGCCUGCGGUUUAAUUUGGACUCAACGCCGGAAAUCUCACCGGAUAGGACAGACAUAUGAUAGUCGGGCUGAAGACUCUACUUGAUGAUCUGAGAGGUGGUGCAUGGCG
rnacentral:rRNA from 1 species